CUACGGGCGGCAGCAGUGAGGAAUCUUGCGCAAUGGGGGAAACCCUGACGCAGCGACGCCGCGUGGGUGAUGAAGGCCUUCGGGUCGUAAAGCCCUGUCGAGAGGGAAGAAUUGCAUUUAGGUUAAUAGCCUAAUUGUUUGACGGUAUCUCCAAAGGAAGCACCGGCUAACUCCGUGCCAGCAGCCGCGGUAAUACGGAGGGUGCAAGCGUUGUUCGGAAUCACUGGGCGUAAAGGGCGUGUAGGCGGCUGAGUAAGUCAGGUGUGAAAUCCCUCGGCUCAACCGAGGAAGUGCAUUUGAUACUGCUCAUCUUGAGUACUGGAGAGGGAGAUGGAAUUCCCGGUGUAGGGGUGAAAUUCGUAGAUAUCGGGAGGAACACCAGUGGCGAAGGCGAUCUCCUGGACAGAUACUGACGCUAAGGCGCGAAAGCGUGGGGAGCAAACAGGAUUAGAUACCCGCGUAGUC
rnacentral:rRNA from 1 species